GGCUGGUUGCUAUAUACUGGUUUUCAGGGUUAGAUACGGUCGCAGUAGGCUGGUUGCUAUAUACUGGUUUUCAGGUUUAGAUAUGGUAGCAGUAGGCUGGUUGCUAUAUACUGGUUUUCAGGUUUAGAUACGGUCGCAGUAGGCUGGUUGCUAUAUACUGGUUUUCAGGUUUAGAUACGGUCGCAGUAGGCUGGUUGCUAUAUACUGGUUCUCAGGUUUAGACACGGUUGCAGUAGGCUGGUUUUCAGGUUUAGAUACGGUUGCAGUAGGCUGGUUGCUAUAUACUGGUUUUCAGGUUUAGAUACGGUUGCAGUAGGCUGGUUGCUAUAUACUGGUUUUCAGGUUUAGAUACGGUCGCAGUAGGCUGGUUGCUAUAUACUGGUUUUCAGGUUUAGAUACGGUCGCAGUAGGCUGGUUGCUAUAUACUGGUUCUCAGGUUUAGAUACGGUCGCAGUAGGCUGGUUGCUAUAUACUGGUUUUCAGGUUUAGAUACGGUCGCAGUAGGCUGGUUGCUAUAUACUGGUUUUCAGGUUUAGAUACGGUUGCAGUAGGCUGGUUGCUAUAUACUGGUUUUCAGGUUUAGAUACGGUCGCAGUAGGCUGGUUGCUAUAUACUGGUUCUCAGGUUUAGAUACGGUCGCAGUAGGCUGGUUGCUAUAUACUGGUUUUCAGGUUUAGAUACGGUCGCAGUAGGCUGGUUGCUAUAUACUGGUUUUCAGGUUUAGAUACGGUCGCAGUAGGCUGGUUGCUAUAUACUGGUUUUCAGGUUUAGAUACGGUUGCAGUAGGCUGGUUGCUAUAUACUGGUUCUCAGGUUUAGAUACUGUCGCAGUAGGCUGGUUGCUAUAUACUGGUUCUCAGGUUUAGACACGGUUGCAGUAGGCUGGUUUUCAGGUUUAGAUACGGUCGCAGUAGGCUGGUUGCUAUAUACUGGUUUUCAGGUUUAGAUACGGUCGCAGUAGGCUGGUUGCUAUAUACUGGUUUUCAGGUUUAGAUACGGUCGCAGUAGGCUGGUUGCUAUAUACUGGUUUUCAGGUUUAGAUACGGUUGCAGUAGGCUGGUUGCUAUAUACUGGUUCUCAGGUUUAGAUACGGUCGCAGUAGGCUGGUUGCUAUAUACUGGUUCUCAGGUUUAGACACGGUUGCAGUAGGCUGGUUUUCAGGUUUAGAUACGGUCGCAGUAGGCUGGUUGCUAUAUACUGGUUUUCAGGUUUAGAUACGGUUGCAGUAGGCUGGUUGCUAUAUACUGGUUCUCAGGUUUAGAUACGGUCGCAGUAGGCUGGUUGCUAUAUACUGGUUCUCAGGUUUAGACACGGUUGCAGUAGGCUGGUUGCUAUAUACUGGUUUUCAGUGAAUGUAUGAACACAGCAGUGUGAGUCGCUUUGGAUUUUAAAAAACAUCUGAUAAAUGGUUUAUGUUAUAAGAUAUGUUAAUACACUCUGAGCCUCAAUUUUCCUCUUAAGUAUUUGGAUUAGUUGGCCUACUGUAAUAUCACCAAGAUUCGUCAUAUAGGUUAUUUAACCAUUUGUCUAAUUACUAAUAGAGGAGAGACAGAGAGAGGGUUUCCUGUUGACGUCCAUGUUGUCCUCCAGUUCAGUACUACUGUAGCUCUUCAGGAAACGUUUGAGUCUCUCACACACUGUCGUCCAUGUUGUCCUCCAGUUCAGUACUACUGUAGCUCUUCAGGAAACGUUUGAGUCUCUCACACACUGUCGUCCAUGUUGUCCUCCAGUUCAGUACUACUGUAGCUCUUCAGGAAACGUUUGAGUCUCUCACACACUGUCGUCCAUGUUGUU